GGAAAAUAAAGCUGGAUUUUUCAUUCCUGCUCGGAGAGCGACUGUCAGCUCUAGAAACCCAGCUAGACGAGACUGAUUCUGGGAGCCAAAGAGCCGAAGUCACGCCAUGGCUGCUGGAUGCUCGCAUUCUUCUUUCGGGGGCGAUACGCAUCCUAUAGAUACUGUCCAUUUUCCGUGCUCUCCUUUAUUAAAGAUUAAGGUUCCUACAGCUAAUCUAAGGAAAAUGGGUCUAUUUCUCACCAAAGAGGAUUUUUGCUUUACAACCCAAAGAACCAAAAUCCAGUUCCAAUCAGAAACAUUUUAACUGUAGUCCUAAUUAAACUGUAGUCUUAUUUAAAGGCCCCAAUCAAAAUGUUAGUGUCUGUUAGAAAAAGUAUUGUCAUCACAGAACAGUGGCUCCAGUAUCCGUGUGGUCAGUCCCAUCGUAAUUAUACAGCCCAGUCCAUCAGCCCACAGUGUGGGGAUGAUACCACAGCGGUUCUCUGUUUAGACGCAACUCAAAUAAAGCAGUAUGUGCGAUGAUGAGUUGGAGCACUUUCCAGAGAAGAGGAUCAUCAAGAAUAAGAGUCAAACACCUGCUAUGCUGCCCUGAUUUAGUGCACCACACCAGUCCAGGUCCACUCAGUGUGUGUGUGUGUGUGUGUGUGUGUGUGUGUGCGCGUGCGUGUGUGUGCGUGUGUGUGCAUUGGACAUACUGACAUCAGCUGACAAACUGAUUCAGCCAGAGACAGCCACAGAGUUUAUGGCUUCAUCCGUCCUUUCAACAGCGUCUGAUUCAUAAGGAGAGCUCCGAAUUUGCUUCCGGAGUAAAGUCCCUGAUUAGUAUCUGUUAUUGGUGGCACAGGAUUCUCUGGGAGUUUAAAUUGUUUCAAUGUGAAGCGUUCUUACCAGCUCUUCGGUAGUGUGACCCACGAGAUGUCCUUUUGAUAAAGAGUUCCUGAAAACCAAACCUCAAAUCCGGACAGAUGCCUAAUGAUUGUUAACAGACUGGGAAGCAACAAUCUGCAAGAAGGCAAUUUGUUACAUGUUGUGGGUCUGGUGCAGUAAGGGACGUAUAGAAAAUAGCUGAUGGGACUUAAUUGUCUCUUUCUGGAGGAAGAUGCAGACCUAAUUGUCUUUACACCUUCAAACAUCAAAUGUACAAACCCAAAAGAAAAUAUGACCAAGUGAAAUCUCUCGUGUAUGUGUAUGUAUAUUUCCUACAUGCCAUGAAUUUUGUGUGCAGGUGUCUGAAGAAGUAUUUGAAAGUAAUGUGUUAGUUGUAAACCUGUCUAAACAGCUGGUGUGUAUUUAUUACCACAGCUCGAGUAAUAUUAUGGUAAACUUGCAAUCUUUUUGGAUGUUAAGUUUACUGAAACAAAUACACCUGACAUUAAAUCCACCCACUAGCCUGGCUUCACAUGGAGUAAAAGAUCACAUGGUUGAACAAAACACGAAUUCCCUAAAAUGCGAAUGCGGCGGAAAGUGACAGGUGUCGCGUUUACCAAAACAUACCGCCGAGGAAGCACUUGCGCGGGCCAUUGGAUGGGAUCUGCUCGGAAUCUUCGGCUACCUGCUAAUGUACACCCAUCACUCACCUGGGCCGCAGAGCCGGAGCAGGUGAGGGCGAGCGCAGACCGCACGGCGCGACACACAGCUGUGCCGCGUGUGUGAGAAAGACAGGACUACGACAACCCAACAACCUCCAUCAUUACCGCAGCAGCAGGGGUCAGAACAGUCUGCCCAGCAUCCCCCCACCUGCCCAAAAAUUGCCCUCCAAAAUGACCAAUUACCCGAGUUAGGUGCUACUGGGAGAAAUAGAAAAAUCCGCCCCAAUAGAUGGUUACUUAAUGCAUCAACAAGGAGGAAAAGAAAUGACUGCAGAAUUGUCACUUGUGGUAUUUUUCCUCGUUGUAUCUGCGGGCUAAAGGCUCGAGACAGGCAGUCAUCAAAUGUUCAAACUAAGCAGUAAAUUAAAAUCAAUGAAAGCCGUAUAAGUCAGGGAAAACAGAGCGAUUUGGAUGCGAGGGAAGCCAAGGCCUGGCAGAUGAUUUCAAACAGCUGGGAGCUGGAACACAAUCCAUGUACUGCAAGUCUGCCUUUACUCUUUAUUUAGAUGUCUUGUUUUACGCAUAUUCAAACGAGGUUUGAUUUGCUUCACUUUGUCCAAUAAUUAAAAGACCGAAAACAUGCACAUUUUCCAAUUAAACAAUUAGGCGCGCGCGGCGGAGGGGCCAGCGCGCGCGCGCCUCUCCGUCCCGUUUCGCGUUUUUGUUCCGAGGUAAGUCCCGAACAAAGACGGGCAGGGGUCAGUACUCGAGCACACCUGAACGCGUUCCCCUCUCCCUUGAUCUCCUAAGGCAGCCCGCCAUUAGUCUUAAUAAUGGAAAAUUGUCAUGUUGAUACAAGACUCCCUCUCUCGUUCUGAAUAAGUUGUAGUUGGAAGCGCCAUUUAUUUCCAAGUUCUUUGUGCCCAAAGGCCAGGGACGGUGCUUUUGUGGUGGGGAAGAGAAAAAGGUGCUGGAUGCUCUUUCCAUAGUCAAGAUAAUUAUCCCCACUGUGACCUUAAUGAUCCACCCUUCUCCCCCGGCGACUUGUGCGCGCCUCGCAGCGCGCCUCAGCCGCUCUGCGCCCGCCUCCCCCCUCCGUGCCCUGUGUCAGGGAAUAUGAAAACCCCUAUAAUGAAACCAUUUUGGCUGAUGGAAAAAGGGCUCCUCGAGCCGCACUUGCCACAAAGACGGCUCAAUUAUGUGAGUAAUUGUGAUAAUUUUCCAUCCAUUCAUGGGCUCUCUCUGAAAGAGAAGGAAAGAGAGGAGAAAACAGAGAGACACUGAAAGGGAAAUUACACAGACAAUGUCGAGUGUGAAAAUUGUUACACAAAAAUGACUGUAAGAAAAGUGUAAGUCUAUAAAUAAAUAUGUUAAUGCAGGGAGGCCGAGAUCCCACGUCACAAACAAAAGGCGCGGUCGGUCGGAUGACCGCUAUAGGAGGAGAAUAAUGCCGAGAUGAAAGUACGUGUGCAGCUGUCUGAAAAUUAAAGCUCUUUCGACUUCCUACUGACAAAGCUGAGCCCCUAAAAAAGCACCCCAGUGGUUAGAGAUCAUUUGGAGCCCUGUGACAGGAAAAAGGAUAAUUACCUCUCUGAGAGAGAGGAGAGAGAGAGGAGAGGCAGGCGGACUGACGCGCCCUUCAGACGCGCUGCUGAAUGCGCGAGCUUGAUAGAAGGCAGGGAGAAUAAUUUUGUGCUUUGCUUUUUCUUUUAUUCCACCGAGCAUGUUUUGUUGGCUGGAAGACAAGGAGGCGAGUGCCGCUGAGUGCAUUAAACCCUGGGUGUUCGCAAAUAUAAGGUUCCUCCGUCCAUCAUCUCGUGCUUUGAGAAGAAGUCUGAAAUGCAUUAAAAUGUCUCGGACGACGGAGGCGCUGAGAUGCCGCAUUAGACUUCGGCUUCCCAGCGGGAGACAGAUUAAACAUUUCCUCGCCCUAUUCCUCAAGGAUACUCGGGCUCUCUACGAAGAAAAGCUAUUCUGCGUCAUUUCGCCAAUGGCAAAUUCCUACCUGUGAUUGCCUUUCGAUAGUUCUCCAAUGAAAUUUGUGUUCAAAUAUGUGAAGAGUUUGGUUCCAAAAUGAGAUAACUCCGUUUAAAAAAAAUCAAAAUCAUGUUUUUUAUUGUGCAUUCCAAUUAAUAUCAAUCAAACUGCAGUUGGUUUGUUAAAAAUACAGCUAACUAACACAAAACAACACCAUGAAAACAUAAUAAUAACAUGAUUUUUGUUAUCUCAGUUUGGAACCAAACUCGUCAUUUCCACUUCCAAAGUGGAAAUAUACACUGGAGCACGUCUGAUAUUCCAACAGAAUUCAAAUUCAAUAUCAAUUAUCCUUCACAGCAACCACAAAUCACACACAAUGGCAGAAGCAUUGUAUCUCCUUCCCCUUUCCACUCUCUCCGUCCUAAACUGUUCCCACAUGUCUGAAGUCUGACCCCCUGUGUGAGGGACCACAGACAUCUGGAGAAAUUGCAGCAUGCGGUCUAGGCCGCUGGGCGCUCGAUGAUUCGGAUACGAAUCCGUCAACCGAUAUACCCGUGAUUCGUCACUGUCAUGGCCGAAUCCGAUGCUGCACUUUCAAAAGAGGACACUGACUUAACAUGUUUUUAUUGUCUCUUUUUACACACAAUAUCGUCUUUCAUGGCAGCACAUAUACUUGCACACUUGGACAUGCACCUGGACCCUGUAAUGGCUGACCGGUUGUCAUAUCACUAUGGUAAUUGGUCCAAUUCUUAAGAAUCAGCUAAGCGUGUCAUGUCAACAUUUAACAUCUCCAUCAGCAAGAAACAAACAGACAGACACCAAUGUCCUUCAGUCGCCAACAGUAACAACAAAAACAGUUAUUAUCAUCAAUUAGAAUGAAGUAAUAACUUGAUUUGCAUGUCUGUCAGAUGCUAAAACGCAUCUUAAUAAAGAGCGUAAUAAGCAUAACAAAAGAAGACAGCACAACAACACACCUGCGCAAUGUUAAAUAUAUGAAUAAGUAAAAAUAGUAAUAAUCAAAUGAGUGAUGGCAGUCCAAAUGGUUUCUACCGCGUGAGCAAACGGUGUCAUUUUUAGAAAAGCCUUUUCAUAAUUUCUGAAAUUUAAGAUUUUUAUUUGUUUGUGACAUUGCUUCACAAUUGGUCAACAAAUAAGUGAAAUAAAUGCAGUUUUUGGGAUAAAAAACAAUUGGAGUCAUUGGCACUAUGGUUCAACUGGCUCAGGUAAAGUUCUGUAAAUUUAAGGAAUAUAACAAAUUUGUUAUUGUACCAAUUAAAAAAAAAUAGAUGUAACCGGUCACUAGACAUUUUUGAGUUGAGGCCUGUGUGAUAUCAUACUAUAUCAUAUUCAUGUACCAUUAUUUAAAAAAAUACAACAGGUUGCCAUGACCUCAAUGUGAGAGCGUAAGCCUCUGUCCAUGACUGGUGAAUACAGGUGUGCAAAAAUGUAAAAACUGAAAUCAAAACAGUUCAUCUGUGUUUUAUAGACCGCAGUGCUGUCGACAUGUUGGUAAAGCCCCAGACCCCUGGAGCACAAGUAAGGGAUUGAAGGGCCGCUGCUCCGGAUGUGUGUGCGUGUGUCAGCUGCUGUUAUAAAUGUAGGGGCAGUGUGAGGGAUGGGUCGAGCUGUCUGCGCAGAGUGAUGCGGGCAGGGCCGCCCGGCUGCUGACUCCACUCUAAUGACAGAGAGGGUAAUGACAGAGCCCCAAACAGCAGGAAGAGGAAGAUCAAUCUACAGCCCGAGAUGGAGAGAUGGAAGAGAGGGGAAGGACGCGGCGCAAAAAAACAGGGCAGUGCGAUUUCUAUUACGUUCUCUCUCUGCGUGUUAGCCUGUCUGCGAGCUUGUCUACCCCCCCGCCUCGCUGUGGCUGUCAGCCCACGCCGCACAUUAAAAACACAGCGGAUCGAUAACUAUUAACACUCGUCAGGAGAGCCGCACUGCUCGCAUCUCACGCUCCGUAUCCAAUCCUGCGCCUCGCUCUCUUUCGCCAUCUCUCUCUGACCGUGGCGCUGGUCUGGCUCAUGGGCUCAUGAUGCCUGGGGUCAGUGGGAAUUGAGGAACGUGGGGAAGGAUGGACAGAGUGUGGAGAGGGUGAAAUGAAACGAGACGGGACUCACUAACCAGCUGCCCGAGCAAACAGCACACAUUCCUCACUCCUAAUCUGCUGUUUUUCCUCCUACAAAACAACAGCAAAAACAUCCAAAUAAAUCAGGUCUUCAUGCAGUGGGGUCCAAAGAUCUGAGAACACCUUGGAAAAACGUUUUCAUAUUAACAGGAAAAUAAUGUUUUUGAAAAAUCAUAAACAAUAAAAGGGUAUGAUGGAAAAUAAAAGCUUAUAAAAGUCGGCACCGUUGGUCACGGGACCAAAUGUUAAUAAAUUAAAUUUUUAUUUGUAAAGCUGAAAAUAGUUUGUGGGUCUUUUUUUCUUUUUUGUCUUUGCUGUUAAUGAGAGUGUGCUAGAUUAUCUGUUAUUUGAUCCCUUGAAGCACAUACCAUACAUUCUUACAUCAUGCUGGUGUGACAUUGCAACUAGGUAAUUCUCUCAAAAGCAUGUUGAUAUUAAUACAUUUAUUAUUCAAUUUAAUAUGAAUAAAAUU